AGCCUAAUGCGCAUGCGAAGAAUGCUGAUGUGGAAUUCAGACUUCAAUCACUCACUACCUCCCUCUCGUCUAUGUUCCCUCGCUGAAAAUCGCUCUACCGUGCCGAAGGAGGAUGAGUAACCCAAACUACACCCUAUCACCACCAUUGUACUCGUUUUUAUCCUCUCGAUUCACCUCUCACAUCCAAUUUACCUAAAUUUCAAUGAAUUCUCCAAACCACAAAACAUUUCAUAGGAAUCCUAAUUCUCCUAAACAAAAAUUAAAUGACAAAGGAGGGGAGUCAAAGCGUGAUACCUUGGGGCUUUGAUUCCCCUCAACAUCCUUUACAUCUUGGUAACAACCUUGGAGCGAAAAAAAGAGAAAUGGAAGAAGGAUCCUACCUAUUGGGUCGUGGCGUACCCUGUGAAUUAUUGAAGGUUGAAGAAGACACUGCUAACGGAGCUAAGAAGACCAAAGGAAGUAUAACCAUGAGUCUCAGGCUUUGGACAUAGCAUUUCAACAUGGUAGAGGCUUGGCAUGGCAUCAUGAAGGUAUUUUACAAGGAAUGAUCAAGAUUUGGCAUAAAGAAUGAUGCUUGGUAUGAAUCAUGGAGAGAUUUGGAUACAUUGAAGAACUUGAAGGCACAAAUGGAGAGAAUCAAUGAGGAUGAAGACAAAAGUAGGUUUAGGUAGUCAGUUUGACUUUGGUCAAUUAUUUGACCAAAAGUCAACCUUAGGUCAAAAAGGUUGUACUUUGCCUUUUUUAAUGAAAUUAUUUGGAUUUUGUAAUUGAAUAUUGGCCCUUUGAAUGUGAUUUGUAACUUUUUUUUACAAGCUAUGCACAUUCCCUACAAUUUUGAAUUUGAAUUUGAA